rnacentral:piRNA from 1 species
UGCUUAUGUCUCAACCUCUGAGUAUUGC